rnacentral:lncRNA from 1 species
ACAGUUACCAUGAGAUCCACCCUUGGGACAAACUUCCAAGCGCACAAUACAGCGUGGUGACUGCCUGUAGAGUCCUGACAUGGCCUGGAGGCCUCUUUCUCUCCCAACUCUGUCCCCAGGACUUUAGGCGAGCUGACAGUGAGGACCCAGAGAAAAUGACACCAUGUGACCCAGCCUCCUCCAAGACUUCCGGGGCGCAGGACGGGAAACAAGAGUGAUUAAAAACUGCCAUGUAGCCCGAACAGAGUUCAGGAGGAAGAAUCACUCCCGAGAAUCCAUGAGUCUCCUGCUCUCCUUCAACACGGUCCACCCCCCUCUGCUCUCCCCUCAAAACGAAUAUUAACGAGGCACCCACCCAGUGCCUACUCAUGAAAAACACAGUGCAAGACCAAAAAAAGGUAUUAUCUG